rfam:Lactobacillus johnsonii NCC 533, complete genome.
AGGAGUGUAGCCAAAUGGUACGGCAUCGUGUUUGAGCCCGAGUUAUGUUGGUUCGAGUCCAGCCACUCCUA